AUGGACCACUGUCCUUGGGGAAGUCAUUUGGUACACUGCCAGCACAGCCGCAAAGGGUGUGAGCCACCGUGCCCAGCCAGAGACUUCUUCAUAAAGGGCCUACUACAGGAUACCCAUGUGAGCCCCUCAGAGGAGCCACUACUGAGCACCUGCUACCCAGUGACCAUGGUGGAAAAGCAGCAGCCAUCGACAGAGAGGAUCACAGCAGCACCAGCCCCCAACACAACACAGAAGAGGGACCCGGAAAAAGAGAAACCGAAUUUCAUCUGUCCCAGGUCCCACAGGCCUAAGCCAGGUGGAGUGAGGAGGAAGUGGGAUCUGAAGGGUUGUGACACUGUCUUUUCACAUCUGCAUCCCCAGUACCUGCCAAUGUCCCUGGCAUUGAGUAGAAGCCCAGAAGAGGUUACAUGAAUGAAUACAACCACCAUGUCUUUUGCAAUCAAUCAGAAACUGUGCGCAUCAGCAUUUUCUUAAGUGUCUCCCAUGACACUCAUGGAUGAACCCCACUGAAUCUUCAAAAUAAACAUGAAAUAAAUGGAAGCAGAAAAAAUCAGAAAGGGAAGCAUGCUGUCUAUCUCUCAUGGCGUGACUGACCGCGAAUAGCAAGCAUAUCAUUGAUAACAUGCACUCAUCCACAUGCCAUGUUGCAGCCAUUUGUCUUAGGGAAGGAAAAAUUUGCUUUAAAAGCUAGGACACAUGCACACGAAUGUUCAUUGCAGCACUGUUUACAACAGCAAAGACCUGGAACCAACCCAAAUGCCCAUCAAUGAUAGACUAGAUGGGAAAACGUGGCACAUAUACACCGUGGAAUAUUAUGCAGCCACCAAAAACGGUGAGUUUGUGUCCUUUGGAGGGACAUGGAUGAACCUGGAGACCAUCAUUCUCAGCAAACUGACACAAGAACAGAAAAUGAAAUACUGCAUGUUCUCACUCAUUGGUGGGUGUUGAACAAUGAGAACACACGGUCACAGGGAGGGAAGCACUACACACUGGGGUCUGUUGGGGGGAAUAGGGGAGGGACAGCGGGGGGUGGGGAGUUGGGAAGAGAUAGCAUGGGGAGAAAUGCCAGACAUAGGUGAAAGGGAGGAAGGCAGCAAAUCACACUGCCACGUGUGUACCUAUGCAACUAUCUUGCAUGUUCUUCACAUGUACCCCAAAACCUAAAAUGCAAAAAAAAAAAAAAAAAUGGAUGAAUCUGGAGAACAUCAUCCUCAGCAAACUGACACAAGAACAGAAAAUGAAACACCGCAUAUUCUCACUCAUAGGCGGGUGAUGAAAAAUGAGAACACAUGGACACAGAAAGGGAAGUACUAAACAUUGGGGUCUAUUGGGGGGAAAAGGUGAGGGCCAGUGGGAGGGGGAGGUGGGGAGGGAUAGCCUGGGGAGAAAUGCCAAAUGUGGUUGAAGGGGAGAAGGAAAGAAAAGCACACUGCCAUGUGUGUUCCUACACAACUGUCUUGCAUGCUCUGCUCAUGUACCCCAAAACCUAAAAUCCAAUAAAAAAUAAAAAAAAAUUAAAAAAAAUAAAAAAAGCUGGCUGCCAUUGGACCCACUUUUGUUUGUUGGUUUGGUUGGUUAAUCUACUUAUUUUUAAUAUUAUUUUAAUUUUUUAAAAUUUAUUUUUAGAAGGUGGUAUCACUAUGUUGCCCAGCUUGGUCUUGAACUCUUGGGCUCAAGUGGUCCUCCUGUCUUAGACUCCCAAAGUCCUGGGAUUAUAGGCAUAAACCACCAUGCCUGGCCUGUUUGUAUUUUAAGGAGAAAAUGAUUCUUUUUCUGCUCAUGAAAGCAUGUUGGUGGGUCUUCAUAAGCUAUCAAAGGUGAGCCUAAAUAGAAAAUGAGCUGCAUAACAUAGGAACAGGAAUUUGGGAAUUGUUUCCUUACAGAAGAAGACAUAAGGGGCUGGGCGUGGUGCCUGUAAUCCCAGCCUUUAGGUACUUAGGUAGGCUGAAGUGGGCAGAUUGCUUGAGCCCAGAUUUGAGAACAGCCUGGGCAACAUAGUAAGACCUGGUCUCUACUAAAAAUAAACAAUUAGCCAAGUGGGUCGUGUGCACCUAAGGUCCCAAAUAGUAGGAAAGCUGACACAGGAGAUCACUUGAGCCUGGGAGGUUGAAGCUGCAGUGAGCUGGGAUCAUGAUACUUCACUCUAGCCUGGGCAACAGAGUGAGACCCUACUUAAAAAAAAAAAAAGGCAUAAGCGCUGUGGGGUCUCCAAGCCUUGGAGAAAAGGAAACAUGGAGACAUGCCUCCCACGGAGAAUGGAACCCAGCUACAAGGCUGUGAUCUGGAAUCUAGAAAGUAUCUGGUGAAGACGUGGUCCAGAGUGAAGGUGGGGAUGCCAUCGCCUCUGCUGAGCUGAUCUCUAAUUCCCCUCUAUGAUUCCUAAUCCUUAGUAAAGGUUCCUUAUCUGUGCACAUGUUAUUGGUGCUUUAAGGAUUUCAGGGAAAGGAAUUGUACCUACUGUUGGCAAAGCAAAUCAAAGACAGCAGCCAUCACAAUUCCCAUUCCAGGAGGGUUGACAAAUGAGUGAUGAAAACGUACCAAGAGCAGGAAGGUGAAGUGAGGAGCAAACAAGAGAACACAAGUCCUCCCGCCCCAGGAUCCUCUGAGAUUUUUGAGGAGGCUUCUGGACUUCCCAACAUGUGAAGUAGAUGAGUUACAGCUAUUUUCUUUGACUAUCCUAGCAGAGGUUGGUGGUGCCCUUGCCCUACCCACUUCAGUGAAUAACACCUACUGGCUUACAAUGAGCAAGCCACUGCAUUUUUUGGCCUGGGGCUUUUGCUUCUCACUGAAGCCUUUUUGAUGACUUCCAUUGAAAUGGGAUGGCAGAAUAGGAGAAUCAAU
rnacentral:lncRNA from 1 species